CACUUCAUGCCCAUCUGAAUUGCCCAGGGGAGCCACUUGGACAUUGGGACUUCUGACGCUUAUAUCUCCAAUGCCACAGACCCCCCUCGCCUUCUGAAUAUUUGCUUCUGGAAUGGCCUCAGGGCUGUGCACCUUGGGGCUUCUGGGCAUCCCUGUGCAGUGGGCACAGAGCGAGUUCCUUAUCAUCCCCAGGAUGGGUCAACGGGAACAAGCAGGAGAACCUUGCAUGCAGUCCUCAGAAGACCUCAGCAGGGCGUUCUCUCUGAGGCUCAGCACCCUAUCUAAGAGCCCGAGGCUGGCCUGAGUGUCUCAGGCCAUUCUGGCCCCGCCCUUCUCUCUUUGUCCUCAUUUCAGUAGGGCUGAUGCCAGCACCCUGCUCUGGCGCCUGAUAUCUGCAGGACUCACCCACAGAAGUGCACCCUCGGCCCUUCUGCUGGCAGCCAUCCCAGAUGUCCUGCGGAACCUCUUCCCCAUCCGGAUCUUGGCUCCCCAGCCUCAGCCUCUGCAGCCCCAUGCACUGCGACCUGAAAGGAAGCGCAUGCGCACUGCUUCUCCAUCGCUAGAGAGCUCGUCUUCCCUCCCUGUGAGUAGCACCAAAUGCCCACAUUCCCAGGAACUCCCGAGGAACAGAGUUGAAGGGGAGGCCUCCACCAGGAGCCAUCUUACACCCUCACACCUUCUCUUCCCUUCCGGAGGCUGCUGACUGGCUAUGAACACUGUGCUCUAAGCAGUUCUUGACAGGCUCCUGUCUCCCAGAUUCACUGGAUUGAGUCCCACUUACCCACAAUUCCACUGGCUAAGACCUGAGCAGAUGGGCUGGAGAGUUGGCUCAGCGGGUAAGAGCACUGACUGCUCUUCCAAAGGUCAUGAGUUCACCAGCAACCACAUCGUGACUCACAACCAUCCUUAAUAAGAUCUAACGCCCUCUUCUGGUGUGUCUGAAGACAGCUACAGUGUACUUACAUAUAAUAAAAUAAAUAAAUAAAAAGACCUGAGCAGA
rnacentral:lncRNA from 1 species